UCUAGUGAAGUACCUCGCAGAGGAGCAAAAGGUGCUUUUAAUAAAUGAAGAAGAUGCCUUAGCAGAGCUGCCAAGCACCCUGUGUAUCAUAGUUAUGGAUGAAGGAAGAUACAAGAUGUCAGUGGAUGAAGUCACAGUUAACAUCAUCGGCUGUCCACUAGUUGCUGUGAGCUAUAUGUUCAGCCUAUAUUAUAUGCUGAAUAUAAAGUAUCCAAAGGGAGCAGCCCUGACUCUGGAGUUCAUCCAGAGGUAAGUUUUGGCCAUAUCUUUUGUCCGUUUUAUAGUAUUAUUUAUUUUGCAAUGUCAAGUGACAUG